GGCAUGUACUAUUUUACAAUAUGACAUAACUUCUAUAUUGUUAAUGGCAUAACAAAAGAUGGAGAAAUAAUCAUACCUAAUAAUCUUGUCUGGGGAGGGGAGUGUGUUGGAGAAGUCUGCAGGGUGGAGGGUAAAGAGGCUUUCAUUUUCUACUCUAUAUAAUUCAUGGUUAUUCCAACCCUUUAUGAUACAUAUGUAUAAUUUUUGUAAAUAAAGAGAAAUAUGUCAAAUCAGCCUAUUUUCACAAGGCUCUGUGUGAACAAACACGCUACAGAGUUUAGCACACAGACUGUAUUGUAGCAAUAGAAAUUAGCAGCUUUCCUCAAGAAAUUCUCCAACAGCCUAAAGGAAAAUGGUAAAGAGAUGAAAAUGGUGAUAAAACAGAAUGGAUGCAGGAGAUAGAUUCCAACUGCCCUCCUCAAUUUAGGCCGCUGGGUGUUGCUUGAGAAAAUCAACUGGAUUUACAGACUGGGGAAACUAAUUUCUGGUUUCCAACCUGGGCUAGGAGCUCAACACACUUGGUGAUCCUCCCAUUUUUCCCAGUCAACUCUCUCCUGAGUUCUCCUCUUCUUCAUCUCCUCUACCUCUACCAGCUACUCACGCUCAGCAGCAGACUUCUCAGGAUACAGAGCCUUUGGACUGGCCCUCCCCUACUGUCUUCUCACUACAUUCACAGCUGCUCCUGCCUGCCUACCAGCUCAUCUCCACUGUCCACACACCCUCUCAUGGAGGCUGAGUGGGGCUGUCUGCUGCUGCUUUCCCACCAGCACAUGAGAAUGGCCAGGACCCUCCCAUCUAACAAUCACUCUUUCCACCACAGAGGACCCUCCAGUGACUGUCCCAUCUCUUCUCUCUCUGUCACAUCUAAUUUCUUGAAGAUGUGGUCUGGAUCUGUGACCUCUCCUUCCUAAUCCCCCAUUCACAUCACGACCUUCUGGCAUCUGGCUUUGCUCCUCAGCAGUUUCUCGAACAAUUCUCACUAAAAUGACCUCACUUUUGCUAAAUUCAGUGUGUUUGAACUCUGCUCAGUAUUUCGACUGUUGACCACCACAUCUUUCAUGAAAUGCUUCUACGGCCAGCCCUUAGCCUCACUUUCCCCUUCCAAGGGUAUCUGCUUCUUUCCAGGUCAUUGCAAACUCCUUUCUUCAGGCUGGUCUUAAAUCCUAGUAUUCUGGAGGCUUUCAGUCAUGUCUGUUUCUCUGCUCCUUCCACACAGUCCCUUGAGGCAUGUCAUCAGCGUUCAUGGCUUCAUUCAGCACCACUGUGCUCAUGACUCCAGCUCAGCUUAGGCCAGGCACCUCACCCCAGAUGGUGCUGCCCAUUUAUUUGAUUGCAGUUUAGAACCCUUUCUUUGACACUCCGCUGGCACCUCAAAAUCUACAGUUCUCAAGUGGAGCUUGUCGUAUUUCUUCUGCUCACCCAAGACUACUACUUGUUCUGAAGUUUUCUCCUUCCCUGAGUGACAGGAACCACAAUACACACAUCUGCCUGAGCCAGAAAACUGAAUAUUCUUUUUCAUUUUUGCCUCUUUCUAGCUGGGAGAAUCCAUUCAAUCAUUAAGUCUGGCAGAGUCUUCAUCCUUCAUAUAUUUUGAAACUGUCCACUUGUGUCCUUUCCCAGAGAGACAACAGAGGUGACUGGUAAGGAAUACAGCUCUGGGGUGGAACUGCCUACAAGUGUGUAGUGAUUGCAUCACCUCGCAUCACCAUCUGAGCCAAAGUAUUGUUUCAGCUUCCUCGUGUGUAACAUACGGAUGAUAAUAAUAGGGUUAUGAUUAUCUGCAAAAUAGGAUUAUUGUAAGAAUUAACAGUCUGAUUCAUGUAAAGAGCCUGGCACACAGUAAGCCUUCCUUAAAUACUGUGUUUCUCACGAGCCCCAAGCCCACUGUUUCUGGGCCCACAGACAACAUUGCUUGUCUGGAUGGUUACAAGAGCUUCUUAACUGGUCUCCCUGACUCAGCCUCGUCCUUUUUUAACCUUUCCCCGUAAUGCAGCCAAAAUUAAGUCCCUAAGAACAAAACUGAAAACGUUCUUCUUGUGUCAGAAUCCCUCAACAGACCCUUACGGUUUACCCUUUCCAUGGACAAGUCCCUCCAUUGUCUUCAACGGACCUGGGCGGUCUCCUGCUCACUCACACUGCAAAAAUAAACACUUGCCUUUCUCUGGAACCUCCCGGGUUUUGCCGUUUUCCGAGGUACUUUUCUCUUCCUAGAUUUCCCCGCCACUGUACACACACCCCCACAAAUCACGCUGAUCCCUGGCACCUAAGGACGCACGGCACAAAGAGCCCCCCCCCCGCCCCCCGGAACCUUUCUCUCGCCUGAAUUCAGGCGCUGCCCGAGACGGGGCUGGAAUGUAGACUCUGCACUGAUGUUCUCAGCUCUGCUGCUGCUCUUGCCGGCUCCGUGGCGCUCCUUCCCUCCGCCUCAGGCGAGCCCAGGGGAAAACUGGCAACGGAGUGGUGAGGUGGGCACAGUGGCCCAUAAAACAUCCCAUUCCAACCGAUGGAAAACAUCAGUAUUCCACUGAAUGAAGAUACCAUAAGUUAUCCAUCCUACUGCUGAUGACUGUCUUCAGUUUGGGUACUUAAAGCCAAAGUGAUGAUGAAACACACUAGUAGAUCUGGAAAAGAAGUUAAGUCAGGAUUAUGAAUACAUAAUUCCUUUUACUUUGUUUCCUGCCUUGACACAUCAAUGGCAGGCUGUCAGGAGAAGUCUUUUAGAAAUGCUAUGGUUGGAGUGAGAAUGUUUUGGAUAAUGACGUGUUUGCACCUUCAGACCCACCUUCUUCCUUUCUCCACCAAGCUCUUUGUCCCCGGAAGCUGACCUGUAUCAAUGGAUCAAAUCCAAUGGGCUCCUGUAUUUUCAGACUUCCACUUGGAUUCAGCAAAUGGAAAGUCCAGGGUGGAAGUGGGUGGAGAUGAGAUCACGGUAUUCAUUCCCUGGCUUCUUCAUUGUGAGGGGACCUGGGGCUCACUGUGUUCCCUGACAGAAGUCACAGCUCUUCUUGACGUAAGUUACUCUGCAAGACUUUCUCCUUCCAGGUUCCGGUAACCUCUCCCAGCCUUCAGCCCUUUGGACCGAGGGGUGGUAACAGCUCUGCUGGUGCUAGCCAGGCUUCCUGCACUGCCCCUUAGAGUUCCCCUACACCUCACACACACACUUCAUAAUUAGUUCUUUUGUAAAUAAACUCUUCCUGAAUUAUCCUAAUUUGAGUUUGCCCACACUUUGCAGUUGGGACUUGACCAGUGCAAAUGUUUUAAAUGUGUUUUGCUAAGCUCUAAGUCAAAAGAAGAAAAAGUUGUAUUCCCUUUUCGACCACUCACCACUGUGACUCGACCACUCACACAGCUGGUCUGGAGCAGUGUUUAUUGGGAGCACUUACAGAGGCAGAGGAAGUAACAGGUUCGCAGUUCCCCCAUUGUCCAUCACAUCCUGGACCGUAUGCGGGCAUUCAGGAUGAUUGUUCUACUCAUCACGUUCUGAAAGAGGAACUCAGCCCCCUCUCCUUGGGCUAUGAGGAUUUUUAGCUGCAUCACUGGGGGAAGCAUCAGUCCCUCCCCUGGCAUGACCAUGGCCUGGUGUCCAAGUCUAUUGUUCCAGCUGUGUGAUGUGGCAGCCCUUGGCCUCCAGCCCUGCUCUCCAUCCUUGGAUUUCAUGACUGGGAGAGCCCUGGAUCCUCCACACGCAAUCAAGGGCUAGGUUUCUAGUCUUGCAAUUGCAGGGCUAGGAUGUGGUCAGCGGCCCAGUGGUCUGCAGCACAGACCCACCAAAGCAGAUUUCCCUGGGGCAAGUUUUAGUUCCCAAGUAGCCUGAAGAGGCAACUCCAGCUCUGAGAGGCCAGCCUACAGAGGACCAGACUGGUGAGUCAUUCCUUAGCUCUCAAGUUCAAUCUUUUUACACCAUUACAAAACCCAACAUGAGGACUCAAAUGUGUCUUAUCUAAAAUUACAACACUCUCAGGAUAACCAAUGUGUUACCAGUUGUGUUAAAACAUAUUUGUGCAGAUCUUGAAUAAGGUUCCUUCAUCUGCUUAACUGAAACAUAUCCUGAGAAUUUAAGUCAAGUCAUUUAAAAAAUACUGCUAC
ensembl:lncRNA